GACGAACGCUGGCGGCGUGCUUAACACAUGCAAGUCGAACGGUGAAGCGCCUUCCUUUUUGGUGGGUGUGGAUGAGUGGCGAACGGGUGAGUAACACGUGAGUAACCUGCCCCCUUCUUCUGGAUAACCGCAUGAAAGUGUGGCUAAUACGGGACAUUCUGGGUCUGUCGCAUGAUGGGUCUGGGAAAGAUAUUGUUUCGGUGGGGGAGGGGUCGGGGCCUAUCGGCUUGUUGGGGGGGGGGUGGCCGACAAAGGCGGUGGCGGGUAGCCGGCCUGAGAGGGUGGACGGUCACACUGGGACUGAGACCCGGCCCAGACUCCUACGGGAGGCAGCAGUGGGGAAUAUUGCACAAUGGGCGCAAGCCUGAUGCAGCGACGCCGCGUGAGGGAUGGAGGCCUUCGGGUUGUGAACCUCUUUCGCCAGUGAAGCAGGCCUGCCUCGUUUGUGGGUGGGUUGACGGUAGCUGGAUAAGAAGCGCCGGCUAACUACGUG
rnacentral:rRNA from 1 species